rnacentral:lncRNA from 1 species
GCUAGUAUGAAGUACCUGGAUCUAUACAAAAAGAUGUGCAAAAGUAUAGUAUGAGUACGCCACAACGAUACUCAGUAAGUAUCAAACCUAACCUCGGUAGAGUUGUGAUAAGGUCAGGUCAAGACACUGACCGGAAUAAAUAAACAAAAUGAACAGGUAUAGUGUAGUUUGAUAAUAAAAACAAGGAAAUUAUAUAAGAAAGAAAUAUAACAAGAAUAGCUACACUGAGACUAAGGUAAUUAAGACAUCAUGGAAGAAACACAUAAUAAGAAUGCCAAGGAACUGAUGCAAAUAAAACACAAGUGAUAUAAAUAAAAGGUAUCAACCAGAAUCACUACCGAGGUACCGCCUCGUAGUCUCAUUUUACAAUUCAAAUUACAAUCUUACCUUAUACACUACGGGAGACUUGAAUUUUUCUGAAAUAGCUACCCGCGUUUUAGUCCACCUUAUCACACUGCGUGGCUUCAAGUAGUUCCCCUACUAGCAACAUGCAUAUCAAGCUCAUCUUAUCUCACCGCAUGCAUUUCAACCCCAAUCCAUAUACCACCGCAUGCAUAUUAAUAUCACAACACAUCACAAAUCGCGCCUCAAGUGACCAAUACCACAACUUGCCAAAAAAGUCAACAAUAAUAGUUUUUUCACAAUAAAUAUCCCAUGGUUAAACCACAAUAUGUACAAGAGUCUCAACAAUAGCAACUAAAAAUGAAUAACUCAACAAGAAUGGUAUUUCAACAAAUUUACAACUUUGCCUCAAUGUGAAUCACGACUUUUAUAACUUCAACACCAUAAUUCAACAAUAAGAUAUUCCAAGAAAUAACAAAUUCAAGUAAAGGAACUAUGUCAAGAUAACAUGUUAUGACUAUUCAAUUAAAGGCAUAAAAAAAUAUACGUAGCUCAAGCCGGUAAAUUACCACAUUUAGCCUGUGUUCCCACUCGUCACCUUGCGUACACAACUUUCAUAUACCACAAUUAACACAAAACAACACCAAUCUAAAGGGGUGAUUUUCCACACAAAGUUAGGCAAUACACUUACCUAAAACACGCUAACUCAAUCCACUAGUAAGCCUUUUCUGCGAUUAUCCAACUCCGAAUGGCUCGAAUCUAGCAGAAAUAGCAUUACGCCGUAAAUACAAACCAUAAAAAAUUAUUCCGAAUAAUAAAGGUGUAAUCUUUAAAGAAAAUCAAAAAUUCAACUCAAAAAGUCAACCUCGGGCAUGCAUCUCGGAACCCGACCAAACGUACGAAAUCCGAACACCAAUUAAAUAACGAGUCCAAUCUUACUAAAAUUAUUCAAAUCUGAACUCAAAUCGCCAAAAUUUGGUCUAUGAAGUUUAAAAAAAAAAUCCCAAAUUUUCCAACUCAAAACACUAAUUAAAUUACAAAAACACGGUGGAUUCAUGUACAAUAGCCAAAUCCGAGUUAGAAUCACUUAUCCCGAUGAAUUCAUUAAAAAUCCCUCUCAAAAUCCCCACAAACCGAGCUCUCUAGGGGAAAAAGAUGAAGAAUGAAACAAAACCCUCAUUUUUGAAAUUUAACAUUGUUGCCCAAUUAUCCUAUCUCACGAUCGCGGACAAAAGACUCGCGAUAGUGGAGAACAAAUCUCCUCAGCUCAAAAAAGACAAUAUGCGAUCGUAUGACUAUAGUCAUGAACGUGAUGGCAGGACCUGCCAAGGUUACAAGAUUGCGGACAACACCACAUGAACGUGAAGAACAACGCAAGCCUCAGCACCGACACGCCUUCCUUAUAUGCGAACGCGGUCAUAUCCAUGCAGUCAUGAUGCACAAGCUCUCCAACCUUCGCGAUCACACCAUCCCAGCAGUCCCUAAGUAUUCUACGCGAUCACAGGAGAACCUUCGCGAACGCAUAGAAGGAAACUAGAACAGAAAAACCAGUAGUCCUAGUUCAAGAGCAAAUGGUCUGAACUCAAUCCGAAACAUGUUCGGGCCCUCCCGGACCAUCCAAACAUACCAACAAGUCCUAAAACAUGAUACAAACUUGCUCGAAGCCUCAAAUCAUUAAGCAACACUAAAACCACGAAUUGCACAUCAUUUCAAGCCUAAUGAACUCAUGAAUUCCUAACUUAUAAAUUAAUGUUGAAAGAUACCAAACCAACCCCAAUUGACCUAAAAUUUCGCACAUAAGUCAAAAUUGACAUAAUGGACCUAUUCCAACUUUUGAAUCCAAAAUUCGGACCCGAUAUCAUAAAUUCAACUCCCGGUCAAACUUCUCAACCUUCCGAACAUUUAACUUUUCAACUUUCGCCAAUUCAAGCCAAAAAGACCUACAGACCUCCAAAUCAAUAUUCGGACAUCCUCCCACGUUCAAAAUUACCAUAUGGAACUAUUGGAAUCGUUAAAACUCAUUUCUGAAGUUGUCUACACAAUAUUCAAAUUUCGGUCAGCUCUUUCAACUUUUGGAUUAAGUGUCGCAUUUUUCACUCUGAAACUCACCCAAACCAAAACCAAACAUCCCGGCAAGUCACAUAACCACAAUACAAUAUAGAGGAGGCAAUAAAUAGGAGAACGGGUCUAAAAAACUCCAAGUGACUGGCCGGGUCAUUACAGUGUCUUUACUCUAUUUUGACAUAACAUUAAUUCUAUUUUAUUCUUAAUCACAAGCAUUUGUUGCAAUUUCAUUUGGGCCUUACAUUGAUCUUAUCUGCAUUUAAAUGUUAUGUUGGGCCUUGUCACUAAUGUUUGCCUUUCUAUUUUGCACAUGUGAUCAAAAUGGGCCUGUUGAGUUCUCAAGAACUCAGGUCCAAGUUCCAGCCUCGAGUCUGAAGUCAUUGAAGUUGUUGCUACUAUUCGUUGUCCGUUGGGCCUGACAUUCUUUAGGCCCAAACCAUGAGUCCAAUUCCCUUUGUUUUAUUGCUUUUAUAUAAAUUUGUUGUUGUUUCUAUGUAUAUAUAACACGGAUGAUAUUGAGAAAAUGAUUUUCUCUUUUAUCAUUUUUUAAUUAUUUUAGAAACGGGAAGGGCUAAAUAUACCCAGCUACUUUCAAAUAUUAUUUAUAUGUACCCUUCGUUAUACUACUGGGUUAUCCAUACCCCUACCGUCAAACUUUGGAACAAAAAUACCCUUAUUGUCAUACUUUGAAACAAAAAUACCCCUAUUUUGGAUGGAGUGCCACGUGACACCACCAGAUUAAAACGAUCCAAUUCUUUUUUUUACCUGAUCCGUUUUUUAAAAAACCCACAACCCGACCCCGAUUUUUAUUUUUUUCCAUUUUUUUUAAAAUUUUAGUUUUAAAAAAACGAAAAUAUUUUGGUUAAAAAACAAAACAAACAAAAAAUCUGUUUUUACAAAUUUGUUUUUCCAGUUUUUACAAAACAAAAUUCUUUUAAAAACUGAAAAAAUGAAAAAAAAUAUUUUUCAAAAACAAAAAUAUUUUGUUGAAAAUAAUAUUUUCGGUUUUUAAAAAACGAAAAUAUUUUGUUGAAAAUAAUAUUUUCAGUUUGUAAAAAACGAAAAUAUUUUGUUAUAAACUGAAUUUCUUUUUGUAAAGGCUUUUAGCUUCUUUGGGUUCUAUAAAUAAAGAAUUUUUUUAUAAGGUGUAUGAAAUUUUAUUUAACAUAUGAAACGAAAAAGAAGGAAGAGAGUGGUGGGUGUGGGUGUGUGUGGUGGGGGGGNNNNNNNNNNNNNNNNNNNNNNNNNAUAAAACUACGAAAAAAAAUAUUUCGUUUUUUUAAACUUGUAAAACAUUAUUUUUAACAAAAUAUUUUUGUUUUUGAAAAAAAAAAUUCAUUUUUCAGUUUUUUAAAAGAAUUUUGUUUUGUAAAAAUUGGAAAAACAACUUUGUAAAAACAGAUUUUUUUUUGUUUUUUAACAAAAUAUUUUUGUCUUUUUUAAAAAUUGAAAAUAAAAAAAAAUUGGAAAAAGAUGAAAAUAGGGGUCGGGUUGUGGGUUUUCUAAAAACGGAUCGAGUAAAAAAAAGAAAUAGGUCAUUUUAAUCUAGUGUUGCCAGGUGGCACUCCAUCCAAAAUAGGAGUAUUUUUGUUUCAAAGUAUGACAAUAGGGGUAUUUUUGUUCCAAAGUAUGACGGUAGGGGUAUGGAUAUCCCAAUAGUAUAACGAAGGGUACAGGUAAACAAUAUUUGAAAGUAGAGAGGUAUAUUUAGCCCUUUUCCGUUUUAGAAACUUAGGCAAGUUGAAAAAUCAUAGGUAAUAUCAAAAGGAAUGACUGUCUCUUCAAUCAGUUAAAUAACUUCAACUUGUUUAAUUAUUUCUAUUAUAUAGUUUUCACUUUCAUCUCUACUAAUCAUUUUUCAUGAAUUUUUGAAGUUCAAAACAGAUUUGAAAAGUUGACAAUCCACUUCCUUUAAAAGCCGAAUUGGGCAGAUAAUUUCAAAGUCGAGUCAUCUACAAAUCAAAUGAACACAGUUGCGAUCAAAGAACUUCAAACGAUUUUCUUCUAAACUUGGAUGUAGAAUUUGGAAGAGUUUUCAAGGUAUAUCUAAACUCAUUUCACUAUAGCUACAGAAACAGCCAUUUUGUUUCAAAAGUAAAAAGUAUUUUUAAACCUAGACAUACUUACAAAGUUUACAAAUAAAGCCUUUUAGACCUACUUUCAAAAGUUCUUUCAAUCACGUAAAUAUGAACACUUUUUCAAGGCUUUUACAAAUGAAAACUACACUCUCCCUUCAAAAUUGCAUACAUCGUUUUCAAGUGAUAAGUAUUAGUCAUGACAUAGAGUAAGCUACAUAUUUUUAAGCACUAACCAGUAGAAUAUAGACAUUUAAUUUCCUAAAACUAGUCUAAGUCCUAUGGAGCUACCUUAGGUAGAUUCUAGGAGGUGCGUAACACCUUACCCUUAGAAGAACAAGAACCCUUACCCAAAUUUCACUAGUUAGUGGACCAAUAAAUAAUAAUUUAAUAAUUGAAUAGGUAUCAUAGUAUACCUAUAAAUAUUAUAUGGCGACUCUUUUUCAUCAUCAACAGGGACGCUACUAGUUGAAUCUUGCUAGGUGGCUCCUCAGAAGCAUCUAUUGUAAGUGCACAAAUAGUUGCGGGUGAUCCACCUCUCGGAGGUGCCGCCAUACGUACCCUGGUCUGAGCUCCUGCCCUACCUGAGCCCUGCCUCCUCUGGCUCCGGCCUAGGGUAUUGGCUUCUGCUUAACCGUUGCGGAUGCAUUUGGCCUCACCUUCUAUAAGAGAAUAGAAGAGUAAGGUUCAAACACUAAGAUAAAACAAGGGACGCACAAUAAGGAAAGAAAGAAGGAAAUUUUCCUAAAUCCCUGUCACACCUUCCUUUUUACCCGCCUGUGGGGGAUAUGAGGGAGUUUUUCCAAUUAAAGUGACAAUAAUCCAAAUGGGAUUAAUUAAUUUAUUUUUUAGAGUCGCCACUUGGAAUAGUUUAUUAUGGUGUCCCAAGUCACCGGUUUAUUUUAAAAUCCCAAGUCGAGGAAAUUUUCGACUUUAUUUAAAAGUCUUCGAACUAGAAAUUCUAAGUGAAGAAUUUUGUUAACCCGGGAGAAGGUGUUAGGCAUUUUUGGAUUCCGUGAUUCUAGCACGGUCGCUUAAACUAUUAAUAAUUGGCCUAUUAUCUGAUUUACUACAUAUCUUAAACCUAUUAUGCAUUUUUAACUUUAUAAAAGCCUUUUAAUUAUUUGAUGAAAUUAUUCUGGAACAAGUUACGAUUGUCGUACACUUGUUUGUUUGAUACACAUUUUAAAUCAUGUCACGGGAUCCGUACCCAUGAUCUACAACAUGUUUAUUUUAUUAAAGUUAUUAGAAGUUGUGGCCGGGUCACAUAAAUGUACCCCCGAAUUUGAAAAUUAGGUAUCACAGUUAUGUCACGGGAACCGUACCCGUAGCUAUGAUGAUUUUAUUAUAAAUGCACCUAAAGCAAACUACGAGUGUUUAAAAAGGUGUCUUUCCAUUCUAAGUUAAUAUUAAUGUGAGGGCCAUAAGUUAUGACUUUUAUUUGUGUAUGGCACACCACAAUUUAUUUUUAAAAGAAAAGAUUUGUAUUUUUUAUAAGGCAAACUAAAGAUGCUCCUACUUUAAUCUAAUUUAAAAUUAGGUAUCACAACCACGUCACGAGAAUCGUACCCGUAGUUUUAAUAAUUUAAUUGUGUGCCUAAAGAAAACUACAGUGUUCCAAAUUUGUGAUUCAUAGCCAAUUUGGGAUUGUUGUGAAGGCUCUGACUUAUGGACUUGACUUAUUUGGGAAGAAAAACAUACUAAUCCUAUGGAGAAAAGACAAAUCUAGGAUGCAUUACUGUAUGGAGUAUGAAUUUUUCAACACAUUUUGAAAGGAAAAAAAAAGCCAUGUUAAUUAGUUAGUUGUGUUCGUGUUCCACUUGAUUUCCACUUCAAUUUUAUUUUUUCUUUUUUUAUUCUUUUCAACAAAGAAGUUCAAAGAACUCUACCACACAUGCCUAAGAUAAAUACAUUUAAUUAACAAUGCUACAAAAUAUAUAUUAUAACAUGAAGCAACAGUUCAAAUGGUAAUCACCAAAUAUGCAAGUAUUUAGAUGUCUCUGUCAGUGAAGAAAGCACAUGUUCCUUUUAAUUCAGAUGCCAAGAAAAAAAAAACGAACAUCUCCAUGUAUCCCGGGAAUAGAAAUUGAAAUAACUGACAUGAACAAAUCCUUUCAACAAAUAUACUGGGACAGCCUCAAGCAGCAAAGUUAAAAUCAAGUAGGCUCCUUAUUCAUAUGUAAACUCAAAUCAAAUAAAUACUAAUAUUCCUACCAAUCAAAUAUCAAAUCAGUGAUCAUAGAGUCAUAUCGAACUAUAAUCUGAUAUGUCUAAACCAAGCAGAUUCAUAAAUUUAUAUGCUUGUCCAAAGUGAAGCAACAGAAAUGACAUGAAAAAACUGGAGCCAAAUCAAAUUAGUAUUUUAUUCAUUCAAAAAUCGCAACAAUCUGAAAAUUAGAAAUGUACCUACCUUGUAUUUUAAAAGAAACGAAGGAAAAGCGAAACGAAGCUCAGUAGCAAUUUCUCGUCCACAACAAAUAACAAUCGCAGCAAGACAGCUCCAAUUAGAGCUUCGACAACUUGGAUCCUAAAUAGGAAUAAACGGCUUUACGGGCAUCGGGAGAAGAGUUCCAAUCAAGGGCAGCCACAAUAGCUCGAGUUACAUUGCUUGUUAUACCAUUUUCCUCCAUCUUUUUUAGCUGUUAAUUAAUGCUUCAAUAGAUUCUUGAAGUUGUACAGUAUUCACCUUUGAAAAGUGUUUUAAAAGGAAGAAAGAAAAAAUUGGAAAGAGGGUUUCAAGCAAAUAUGUCAGUUAUUUGCCCUAUGGGAUGGUGGACAGAGUGGGGAUAGAGGAAAGGUGCUUUAUCUUUUUGGGUCUCUGAUUUGUGUGUCGUGUGGAGAAAAUGAAGAAGAAGAAAGAGGGGUCUGGUCUUUUUUGUGGAAACGGCGCUAAGGGGGUGGAUCC